rnacentral:rRNA from 1 species
GACGAACGCUGGCGGCGUGCUUAACACAUGCAAGUCGAACGGAAAGGCCCUGCUUUUGUGGGGUGCUCGAGUGGCGAACGGGUGAGUAACACGUGAGUAACCUGCCCUUGACUUUGGGAUAACUUCAGGAAACUGGGGCUAAUACCGGAUAGGAGCUCCUGCUGCAUGGUGGGGGUUGGAAAGUUUCGGCGGUUGGGGAUGGACUCGCGGCUUAUCAGCUUGUUGGUGGGGUAGUGGCUUACCAAGGCUUUGCCGGGUAGCCGGCCUGAGAGGGUGACCGGCCACAUUGGGACUGAGAUACGGCCCAGACUCCUACGGGGGGCAGCAGUGGGGAAUAUUGCACAAUGGGCGGAAGCCUGAUGCAGCAACGCCGCGUGCGGGAUGACGGCCUUCGGGUUGUAAACCGCUUUCGCCUGUGACGAAGCGUGAGUGACGGUAAUGGGUAAAGAAGCACCGGCUAACUACGUG